rnacentral:rRNA from 1 species
UACGUAGGGUGCGAGCGUUGUCCGGAAUUACUGGGCGUAAAGCGCUCGUAGGUGGUUUGUCGCGUUGUUCGUGAAAUCUCACGGCUUAACUGUGAGCGUGCGGGCGAUACGGGCAGACUGGAGUACUGCAGGGGAGACUGGAAUUCCUGGUGUAGCGGUGGAAUGCGCAGAUAUCAGGAAGAACACCCGUGGCGAAGGCGGCUCUCUGGAACGCAACUGACGCUGAGACGCGAAAGCGUGGGGAGCAAACAGG